AAUAAUACUCUAGUUCUAAAGGCUCAGUCACCUUGAGGCGUAUGUGAGACAAGUAUUUCAGAUCUGUUGUGUAGAGAAGUUGCAGGUGCUCCACAUUUACUGAUUGUCUAUCCGGCUGUAGUGGGGAAACUCCACUUCUUAACUGGACACCAAGUCAGAAACUGUAUGAUGUAAUGUCACUCUUUAAGUGGGUGGAUCUGGAGAAACGUGACACGUGGAACACAAUUGGAAUGUAUCAAAUCAGUCAAAACAGACAAAAUCCUGAGAUAUGAAAUUGUAUUCAACACAUAACCCUGGAGAUGCAACAGUGGGCAAAGAUUCUGAGAACUGCUGUAGAAAAUUGCCCUGAAGAAG